rnacentral:sRNA from 1 species
CCCUAGCCCAGAUAAAAGUGAAAAUCCUUUUCUUGUAUCGCUUUUUUUUAACGAUACUAGAAAAGAUUGUAGCGGAUAGCUGGAAAUAGC